UUGACCAUCUUAAAUGGCCCCUUGUGGAGGAAUAAAAUUGUUUUGACUAAGGAAUUGCUAACCGUAAAACCAGUGAAUGGCGAACUUGUCUUGGAACAUGUAUUUGAGCUCAUCGCGGGCAUUUUGAAUAUAACUUUCAAGAACAGCAUUUGACUCAAAUUAAUAUGAGGUAGAAUUUCUUUAUAACUUUUAUUAUGUAUAACUUUGAACCCUGUUUAUCGAAUCUGAUGAUAAAAUUUAUAGAAGACAUUGAUUUAUUGUACAGAAAGUGUACUAGUUCAAUUGAGACACAUUGUAUAGAGGAAUUAUGGUGAGACAAAUACUUAAUCAACAAUCAUCAAAAUAAUCACCAAAACGUUAAACGCGACUUCCACUCCACCCGUAGACGCUAAGAUACAUACCGAUACCCAACAAAUUAGCCUAAGCUCAGGGGGCCAUAUGUGGCUAGAUAGGAAACAGACAAUUGUGAGAAUAAUUCCGACGACUAUAUUCAAAAUUUAUUAAAACAUCAAUCAUGACAGUAGAUAUGGAAUUAGAUUGUGAAUCAGGGAUUAUUUAGAUAGUGUUAU